rnacentral:lncRNA from 1 species
AUGAGUGAGGUAGAUGUGGUCCCUGGCUUCAUGGAGCUCAUGGCCCAGCAGACAAGUGAGACAUCCAAUGAUCAUUCUGUUAACUCUCCUCCUCUCGGCACAUUCUUGUAUCAUUGUGGUCCAUGUAUGAGGAACACCAUCAUCACUGCAGUUACGUCUGAUUCAGCACCUUUUAUGGAUUGUCACCAGAUGAAGGUCAUGGAGGUUUGCCCAUACCAGUGGGAAAUGUGGAGCUGGGACCCAAGGACAUCUUCUCAGCCAGCCACCGUGCAUGUGACUUCCCUGGUUGAUCCAGCCAACUGCAGGACCAAGAUAUUUCUAGUGCAAGAUAGGAGAGAUGAGUAAUAGAGACCACAGCCCUUGGAAACCUUGAUCAAGUAGAAUAAGAACACCUUCCUCAGCUCUCUUUGCAAGUGGCCAAAGCUUAGUGGCUCUGGGAGAAAAAUUCAACAGGAAAACCUACAGAAGUGCCUUGAGAAAGGACCACAGUAGCCUCUUCUAAGCCAAAUUGAGUAAAUAAAAAUGAGUGCUAUUAAAAUAUCCA